UGAGUUUAUCUGCUCAGAACGAACGCUGGCGGGCAGGCCNUAACACAUGCAAGUCGAACGAANGGCUUCGGCCUUAGUGGCGCACGGGUGAGUAACACGUGGGGAACGUGCCCUUAGGUUCGGGAUAACGUCUGGAAACGGACGCUAAUACCGGAUGACCCCUGCGGGGGAAAGAUUUUUAUUCCGNCCUGAGGAGCGGCCCGCGUCUGAUUAGGUAGUUGGUGGGGUAAUGGCCUACCAAGCCGACGAUCAGUAGCUGGUCUGAGAGGAUGAUCANGCCACACUGGGACUGAGACACGGCCCAGACUCCUACGGGAGGCAGCAGUGGGGAAUAUUGGACAAUGGGCGGAAGCCUGAUCCAGCCAUGCCGCGUGAGUGAUGAAGGCCUUCGGGUUGUAAAGCUCUUUCGCACGCGACGAUGAUGACGGUAGCANGAGAAGAAGCCCCGGCUAA
rnacentral:rRNA from 1 species